ensembl:lncRNA
GUAAACAAUGAUACAUAAAAUGUAGAAUGUAACCGUUUAGUGCAAAAGUAAACAGUUAUAUGUACCAAAUGUGCAACAUAGGUAUAGUGCAAAUGUAGCAGAUAUGUACAGUAUGAAUGAAAUAUACUUUAAUUUCAAAUCCUUUACAUAUGAAAAUGUACUUACAGACUGUUUAUCAAGACCAAUGGUCGCACACCACUGCCAGUGUAGAGACCAUUUCACAGGACCCAACUGUGCCAUGAGUAAUUUUUUUGUUUUUCUUUUCCUUGUUUCUGUUAUAGUUCAACAUUUAAAAUCUUAAAGUGAAUGUCAUUUUGUUUCUAAUAGAUUUGGCUGAGUAGCAUGUUUUGUUUCUUAACGGGGAGGCCUACAUUGAGUUUGCUGUCAAAGAAAGCUACAGAAGAAACCAGCUUCUGCAAGCCAUUCUGGAUGGGACGGAAGGAGAUUUUCAGGGAUUUGACAGUUUUGAGAUCAAGAUGAGGACUGUCAGAAGAAAUGCUGUUUUGGUUGUGUGCUGGUGUCAGACCGCUCAUCUAAAACUUCAGAUAUCAGAUGGAAAACCUCUGUAUGUGUUCACCAAUGUCACAUCUGGUCAGCGACUGGAGCAAUAGAGGGAAAUGUGUCCGGUGGACAGUGGCAUGUUCCUCAUCUGCCCAAAAGAGGCUUAUACAUAUCUCUGUUUCUGGAUAAACGGCCUGUAGUGAACACCACCAAUGGCACCAUAACUCACCCUGCAUUAUUACUGGAGAUCAUUUUUCUGGGCUCUGCUCCACUGAAAGAAUCUAGGGAUGUCCCAGAGAUUAUCCAGAAUUUAGGUUUCAGAGGAUGUGUGGAAUACGUCAGAUUCAACGGCCAUUUCCUGUCAUACAAUGGCUACAACUCCAGCCCGCCUGUCUACCAAACCUUCUGCGUUUCUCCAAACCACUGUGUUCUGACUCCAUGUCUGAAUGAUUUCUGUCUAUCUGAGCCCUGCUGGAAUGAUAGUGACUGUGGAUCUUCUUCCAAAGACGACUACUGGUGCAUCUGUCUGCACAAUGUGUCUUCGUGUGGAUCUUGCUCAUCUGAUGUCGUCCACAGCGAGGCCUGUUCUUAAACCCAAAAGAGCAAAGUCCCUGUAUGGAUUGUAUUAGUCAUUCUUCCCAUUUUUCUCAUUCUUCUGAUCCUAGUUUUCUGUA